GGGCAGGAGGAGGUGUAGGUGGUGCUUGCUAAUUGGGGCCGAGUGAUUUAGGCUCGCGCUCUAGUCUUGUUAGGAUUGGCUCACUACAUCUCUAGGCUUGUUGGCGAUGGGUGCAAAGGGAGUGGGAUGCUGGUAUUCUGUGUAGGGUUGCGGCAACUAGUUUUACUGUGGGGCCCAGAAUUGAGUUCAAAUUCUCAAGCUCGGGGAAACAAGACGUUGAUUUUUGUUUCUGGGUGGCGUUGGAGGCACAGUGAAUGCCCUUUCAUUGGCUAGAUAAUUUGAAGUCGCAUUAACAAAGUCUGUGUAAAGGCGUAUUGAGAAUACCGGAAAGUUAGAACUGCACUUAGAACUUCAUAAAGAAAAUCGACUGAUGAAAUUGUCCUAAAGAUGAAGCAGUGUGCGAUUUGUGUUUUCCUGGGAUCACAGGCCCAAAGGCGAUGUCCUGCAGGAUUUGGGUGUCACAAGUUGUAAAGAUGUUGCUUUCCUUCUGAACUAAUGCCCAAACUUUGGAAGAAUUAGCUGAGUGCUCCUUCAAAGUGCAGAAUUUGGUCCUCACCCCUGCAAUUCUGGUUUAACAAUUGUUAAGAAAAACUUUUUUUUAAAAAUUGAUUUGAGAGAGAGAGGAAGGGAGAAGAGAGAGAGAUUGAGAUUUAUUGUUCUACCCAUUUAGACAUUCAUUCAUUGAUUGAUUCCUGUAUGUGCCCUGACUGGGGACUGAACCUGCACCCUUGGUGCAUUGGGACUGUGCUCUCACCACAUGAGCUACCUACACAAGACCUGACUUAAUAGUUCUUGUAUGGGAUCUGGAAAUCUAUAAUUUUCACCAGGAGCCCAGGUGAUUUUUCAAUUAGCUUAUGCAGGAAUCAGAGUUUUAAGAAAGGUUCUCUAGCCGGGUAAUUCCAGUUGCUUCAUCUCCCCAACACGUGAUCACAAUUAUCAUUAACAAAAUGUGUUGUUGCUCUCUGUCACCUUCUGUAGUAGGUAGCUCAGGCUGCCAUAACGAAGGCCCACAAACUGGGUGGUUUACACAACAGAAUUUACCCCCUCAUAGUUCUGGUGGCUGGAAGUCAUUGGCAGGGGUGCUUCUUCCUCUGAACUAGUUGCAAGCAGGGCAGUGGCCUAGGCUUCGGGCUUCUGGUAAUGGCAGCUAGAUAACUGGGACUGCCUCUCCUAAAAAAGCAAGACAAAAAUGUUAUCUGUUCAGGAUCUCAGAGAGCUAAGAGGGCAUUCAAGAGCUGGGAGAAAGAAACCAAGAGCAGCGAGCUUGGUUUGAGGGCUUCUCUCUAGAGGCACCUCCUGUUUCUGCAACAGGGACCAAGGGGACUCUGGGCGUAGGUAACACUCCGCUUCUCGACCUUCCGCUGUCUCCACAGUGUUUACUUUGUGGUGAUUCUUUGAGAUGGACACUUAUGAUCUGAAUGCCUCUAUGUUUUAUGCCUCAAAAAAAAAGAGAAGUCAUUUAAAGAAGACUUGGCAAUGAACAGACUAGCAUUUGAGGUCCAGGUCUGCUAUUUAGAAAUGUGACCUCAUGAAAAGUUCAUUUUUUUUUUCAAAACUCAGUAUCUUUAUACUGAGUGUAGAGUGUAAGUCUAUUUCAUAGGAUUGUCCUGAGAUAUAAAUGAGAAUGUUUCAAGUGCCUGGAAGCAAGUAGGCUCCCAGAUAACAACAGCAGUAAUAAAGUAUUGCCAUUUAUGAAGAAACUAUAAUGUGCCAGGCAUUGUACUAAGUAAGCUCUUAUGCCUCAGCCUGUGCAGUCUGUGCCAUGACACAGACAGGAUUGUUACAGAAAACACUCCCCGUGUCCCUGGGGGUCUUGUUACUCUAUAGAUCUUUUUGCCCACUGUUGUGGCUCUCAGUGCCAGAGUUUGGUAAAAAGGAAAGGAACUAUUUAUUCCAAAGUUACACUCGUUCAGAAUAAUGGUGAAUGUCGCAGUUAAAUCCCAAAGUCCCUUUAAAAAAACACCCACAAACUCACACCCACAUACAAUCCUUCCUUCCUUUGCCAAACCAGGCCAGUCAGGAGUACCAUCUCCCAGAAAAAGAAAUAGAAGCCUGUAGCUCAGUGAGGCCCCUAUUCUUAAUCCAAAAUCAUGCGGCACUGAUAGGAGAAGCCCUGGGAGACCUUUGCUCACCCAAGACCCCAGGCGCCAUAGGAGAACAAUAAGACCGUCUGGGAAGAGCAAAUAAAGCAAAUAGCCGGAUAGUCACUAGGACUAGGGCUAGCACCCCCGCAGGUAGAACCAAUUUUCACAUUUAGCCUUUGAACUCUGCUUCUGCCCCGUAGAUAGAACUAAUUACCGCAUUCUGCUUCUGUUUCCUGCUUUGCCACGUAGAUAGGAAGACCCCUAAUCUAUAUAUUCCCCAAGAAUCUUUUG